rnacentral:rRNA from 1 species
AGUGAACGCUGGCGGCGUGCCUAACACAUGCAAGUCGAACGAUGAUGGAGGAGCUUGCUCUUCCUGAUUAGUGGCGCACGGGUGAGUAAUGCAUAGAUAAUGUGCCCCUUAGUUCGGGAUAGCCACUGGAAACGGUGAUUAAUACCGGAUACUCCUUCUUACUAUAAGGUAAGUCGGGAAAGUUCUUCGCUAAGGGAUCAGUCUAUGUCCCAUCAGUUUGUUGGUGAGGUAAUGGUUCACCAAGACUAUGACGGGUAUCUGGUUUGAGAGGAUGAUCAGACACACUGGAACUGAGACACGGUCCAGACUCCUACGGGAGGCAGCAGUGAGGAAUAUUGCACAAUGGAGGAAACUCUGAUGCAGCAGCGCCGCGUGGAGGAUGACGCAUUUCGGUGUGUAAACUCCUUUUAAGAGGGAAGAUUAUGACGGUACCUCUUGAAUAAGCACCGGCUAACUCCGUGCCAGCCGCCGCUGUAACAC